rnacentral:rRNA from 1 species
UCCAGACUCCUACGGGAGGCAGCAGUGGGGGAUAUUGCACAAUGGGGGGAACCCUGAUGCAGCGACGCCGCGUGGGUGAAGGAGCGUUUCGGCGCGUAAAGCCCUAUCGGCAGGGAAGAAGGAGGACGGUACCUGACUAAAAAGCCCCGGCUAACUACGUGCCAGCAGCCGCGGUAAUACGUAGGGGGCAAGCGUUAUCCGGAUUUACUGGGUGUAAAGGGGGCGCAGACGGCAGCGCAAGCCAGGAGUGAAAGCCCGGGGCCCAACCCCGGGACUGCUCUUGGAACUGCGCGGCUGGAGUGCAGGAGGGGCAGGCGGAAUUCCUGGUGUAGCGGUGAAAUGCGUAGAUAUCAGGAGGAACACCGGUGGCGAAGGCGGCCUGCUGGACUGCGACUGACGUUGAGGCCCGAAAGCGUGGGGAGCAAACAGGAUUAGAUACCCUAGUAAC